rnacentral:rRNA from 1 species
AACGAACGCUGGCGGCAUGCCUAACACAUGCAAGUCGAACGAGACCUGCGGGGCUAGUGGCGCACGGGUGCUUAAGGCGUGGGAACUUGCCCUUAGGUUCGCUAUAACUCCCCGAAAGGGGUGUUAAUACCGGAUAAUCUCUUCCGACCUAAGAUUUAUUGCUUUUGGAUGGGCGCGCGUUGGAUUAGCUAGUUGGUAGGGUAAAAGCCUAGCAAGGCGACGAUCCAUAGCUGGGCUGAGAGGAUGAUCAGCCACACUGGGACUGAGACACGGCCCAGACUCCUACGGAAGGGAGGAGUGGGGAAUAUUGGACGAGGGGGGAAAGCCUGAUCCAGCCAUGCCGGGUGAGUGAUGAAGGCCUUAGGGUUGUAAAGCUGUUUUACCCGGGAUGAUAAUGACAGUACCGGGAGAAUAAGCUCCGGCUAACUCCGUG